CGCUUAGCAAAAGCCCAAUCAUUUAAGACAGAUAUGUGUUUCCGUUAAUUUGGCUUCGUUAUCAAACGACAACACGGCGCAAUGCACAAAUUUAGCUCGGCAGCGCUGCCACUGUUAGCGUUCGACUGAUAGAUCAAGCAGGAGCUGUGUUUGAGGUCUGGCAACGAUCGCACCCCAGCAGCUGAGCAUGGCGCAUGGCUGAGAAAUAAGAAAAUUUGCGCCCGCAUUUGUCUGCUGCUCAUUGUUUCCUUGUGCUUAAUUUGCGGUUCACGUUGCAGUUGUUAAUCGUGGUUAUUAUGGAUGAUUUUGUCCGUGUGUGUACUGUGAUCGAGCCGGAUUGACUUCGAAGGAGGCAACGCAUGGAACGGUUGAUGGGCAGCUUUGUUUAACUUCAAGACCAUGUGCUGCUGAAAGCUUUCUGAAAGCAACAGGACAAAAAAUAAGGGAUGUGGGCCUUGGAAAGACCAGCUGAUGGAAAAAAAUCAACGUCUGUGUUGCACGCAACGCCAUUGUGACAGUCUGCAUCACCAUUUGGCCUGUUGUGGGAUCCCACAAGACACGCUCUGUUCCUCGGUCAAUUACUGAACUUCUGCAAGCCCCAUGGAAGCCAACUGUGAUCCGCAUCGAAUGGAACAAAUUCAUUGUUCCGGCCUUCAUAAUUAAUGUUUAAGCUGAAGUUAGAAACGGAGCUGACACAGCGUAUAUUCUGUAAGAAUUUACCACUGCAUACCGUCGGGUGGCCACAUCCGACGGUAUGCUACUGUCUACAACACUGCUAGUCUACUGUCUAGAACACGGAUGGCGUUUUAUUCUAGAAUAGCUUUGUCAGUAGUGCUACUGCUUGUGUUUGUAGGAUCCGAGUCCACGCUCUUUUUCCAAUCCCAUCAGAACACAAAAAGACGAAGAUAAUUUUAAUUUAUUGUUUCGGAGAUUAACACUUGGACUGACAAGAAAUUAUUCAGUGAUACAGACUGCUUUAAUAAAUAUGGCUUAAGAAAAGAAACCUGGAAGAAAAAUACAGACUUAAGCUGCAAAGUGCCUAUGAAGGCAGAUUUAUGAAAAAUGCCUUUAGUGGUGAUGUUUGAGCUGUUAGGAUGUCAGAAAGGAGAUAGAUGUUUUAGCCAAAAUAGUGCGACAACGACUACAGUGCAGCAGUACACAUUAACUGGAGCUCCACUCUUCUCCGCUUGUACACCAACGCAAGCGCAACACCCUUGAAAAGGCAGUUGCUCUGCAUGGUUGCGUUGGCAGCCUGGUUCCUGCAUAAGAGAAAGGGUUGGUUCUAAACAUACAAUGAUGUUAACGCACAUAAAAACUAGCUUAGGUACAGUAUUCGUUUUCAUCAGUUUACUUUUCGCAGUAAAUGCGUUCAUUACAUAUUUUCAUUGUGUUCAGGAAGCCGAUUUUUUUUUUUACAUUGAUAAGCUCGGACUGUUUCCAUUCAUAUUUGCAAAGAUACAGUUUUAGGCUGGUUUGGCGUUUGCACAUCCAGACCGACAUACACCAAUCUAACACUUACAUAAUGCACUCACUAAUAGCUGGAAUGUGCACAACAAAUAUAUGUGACAUAUAUCUGCUACCACUUGCUAGCGUUUUCUGUAUUAGGAGCUGGGUCAACUGCUACAGCUUUUUUUAUUACAAUAAAGAUAAUGUGAUGUACAAAAACUAUCCUCUCUUGUAUUGUUAUUCAAUGUUUUGUAUUGGAAUAAAAUAUUACAUUCCCUCUGUAUACGUGCAGGUAUAAUUAUGAAAACCAUUUCAUGGUUGCUCACUUCCUCGUUGGGCUUGGAUGUUCAUAAGCAUAAGCUAAUUAA